GUUUCAUACAUGCAUUGGUUCGAUGGUUGCCUCCUCGGUCGCGGGGGGCUGUGGUUGGCCGGCGUGGUGGUUGUUCUGCUACGUCUGCCGUGGUGUCCGCUCGGGGCGUAUGUAUGGAGCAUGCUCCGCCGUCUGAUGAUCGGCCGUUGUGUAGGGGUGGCCGCUCUGUACGGUCUUCGAGCUCUCCAUGCAUGUGGCCGCUUUGUACAGCCUUCCGGUUCUGGAUGCGCUGCGGAUUUUGUGGCGCGAUCUGGGUCUUGUUCUCUGUCGUCGGACUCUGCUGUUGGUGGUUCUGGUGGGCAGCGGAGGGAGGAGAUUCGGUUGGGAAAGCAGGCCUGUUGAUCCCACUCUCAAUCGACGACGAACAGCAGAGAAGCAAACCGGCGAAGCGAGCAGCACAUUGGGGGGAGGUGGUCACCUGCAAGUCAACCGCGCGACGGGUGAGCAGAGCGGCUGGCACCCGCGCCAGGGGAAAAGGAGGGGGCCGGAACCCUUGGCUGUGCGCCCUGGCCAUCAACGGCGACGAAUGGUGACGGGGUGGAUGUAGAUCACGAGGGAGCGGGAGCAAAUCGGUGAUGGAAAGCAUGAGCACGGAAACGCAAAUCACACGGCCAAGCAAAACACACGAGGAUGGCUAGCUGCUACCAGCCACGGGAUGAGAGCAAUGGGUUUGAGAGAUGCAGCAUACUCAAGGCCGACAAGGGAUUUUCACGAAAGGCGUAUGUGUUCAUUUUAAUCCAUGUUUUGCAUCAGGGUCUUCAGAAUGUAGGCAAGAUUUUAGAGAAGUUGUUUUUGUAGGCAACACAAAGAGAUAUAAGUAGGCAAAAAUCCCACAGAAUAAUUCAGCAUCUGUGUGUUUCAGUAGGUGCAAUAUGAUUUUUGCAUUUUGAUUUAUGUUCAGUAGGAAAUUUUUUGAUGAUUGUUGUUGGAUGGUACUUUGAUAUGUGUGGUGCGUUCUAUUUUUGCAAGUGUUCCUUUUUGCGAGCAGGAUCAGGCUGUGCAGCAUACUGUUGUUGCUACUGCAGGUUGCUUGCACGUUUUGAAUUCUGGUAUUUACUCGCUCCUUGCCAUGUGUAUGCAUGGUAUGUACGUGGGUUGAAGUAGGUAAUCAUUACAUUGGUCGACAGCGGGCAAAUUAAAUUACACGUACUAAAUUACAACGUGGUCAUGGUUUAGUCGGAGGGAGUGCACUGCUUUGAUUUGUGCGGGUGUUGCCAGCCGUGCGCGUGUGGUUGCUUGCAUGACCAUGCAGUGGCUGUGUAAUUCUUAGGGGUACUUCAGGUUGUACACGCGUGCUUGCCAGCAUGGCCAUGCACGUGCCUGUGCAAUUGUUAGGUGCACUCCAGGUUGUACGCACGAGCUUGCGUGCAUGGGUCAUGCACGUGGCCAUGUAAUCGUUAGGUGCACUCCAGGUUGUACACUGUGCGUGCUUCCUGUUAGAAGAUGACUGUCUCUAUUAUUUGGGAUUCAGUAGCUAAAAUUGUUGGCGACUAUAUUUAAACUAGACUUUAGCUAGCCCUUCAUCUAUUGAGUGUUGGAGCGGUGAAUCAAAGCAAGUUAAUUAGUCUACUCUAGAUGUGCGAAAGAAUCAGAAUGACUUUGUGAAGCAGAAAUAUGCACUUCAAAGUGAAAGGAGAAUCAACCCUAUUCAUAUACUUCAGAGUCGUUCCGUAAUUUUGUUUUCUGCGUACUAUAUGGCCUGGCUGUGGUGCGCAAUAU